rnacentral:tRNA from 3 species
GGCGAUGUAGCUCAGAUGGUGAGAGCAUGCGGCUCAUAUCCGCAGUGUCCGGGGUUCAAGUCCCUGCAUCGCCACCA